rnacentral:rRNA from 1 species
AUUGAACGCUGGCGGCAUGCCUAACACAUGCAAGUCGAACGAGUGGCGGACGGGUGAGUAAUGUCUGGGAAACCGCCCGAUGGAGGCGGAUAACUACUGGAAACGGUAGCUAAUCCCGCAUACCAUCGGAUGUGCCCAGAUGGGAUGAGCUUGUAGGUGAGGUAACGGCUCACCUAGGCGAAGAUCCCUAGAUGGUCUCAGAGGAUGACCAGCCACACUGGAACGGAGAAACGGUCCAGACUCCGACGGGAGGCAGAAGUGGGGAAUAGUGCACAAUGGGCGAAAGCCUGAUCGAGCCAUGCCGCGUGUAUGAAGAAGGCCUUCGGGUUGUAAAGUACUUUCAGCAGGGAGGCGUUACCCGCAGAAGAAGCACCGGCUAACGACGUGCCAGCAGCCGCGGUAAUUC